rnacentral:rRNA from 1 species
GAUGAACGCUGGCGGCGUGCCUAAUACAUGCAAGUCGAGCGAACAGAUAAGGAGCUUGCUCCUUUGACGUUAGCGGCGGACGGGUGAGUAACACGUGGGUAACCUACCUAUAGGACUGGAAUAACUCCGGGAAACCGGGGCUAAUGCAGGAUAACAUGUUGAACCGCAUGGUUCUACAGUGAAAGGCGGCUUUGCUGUCACUUAUAGAUGGACCCGCGCCGUAUUAGCUAGUUGGUGAGGUAACGGCUCACCAAGGCAACGAUACGUAGCCGACCUGAGAGGGUGAUCGGCCACACUGGAACUGAGACACGGUCCAGACUCCUACGGGAGGCAGCAGUAGGGAAUCUUCCGCAAUGGGCGAAAGCCUGACGGAGCAACGCCGCGUGAGUGAUGAAGGUCUUCGGAUCGUAAAACUCUGUUAUUAGGGAAGAACAAAUGCGUAAGUAACUGUGCGCGUCUUGACGGUACCUAAUCAGAAAGCCACGGCUAACUACGUG